CGGUAGGGUUGGGUCUUUGGCAGUCAUAGCCACCCUCCUGGUUGUGUUCUCUCUGUUUCCUGGUCUUGUGUGUAAACAGCCUCUGCCAGGCCCUCCAUCAUCCACAGGGAUCCACUCCUCCCUGACUUCCCUGCUGCAAGCGAGUGAAACUGAGAGUCAAAGCAAACCUUUCCUCCCUUCAGAUGUUCUUGUUGGACAUUUUCUCACGGCAACACAGUUACUAAUGCCCAGGGCCCAACCUGUUUCUAAUGCAUAUAGUGGGAUCCAGUUCUGCUUCUUCUCGUGUUUUUCUUUUCUUUUUAAGGAGGAAAAUGGUGUGUGGGUGUUUGUGGAGGAGAGUAUGUGGAGGUAUGGAGGUGGGUAUAUGGGGGAAGUAUGUGUACGGAGUGUAUGAGGGGCGUGUCUGGAAGGGUGUGUUUGUGUAUGGGGGUGUGUGUAGAGGAGUGAGUGUGUGGGUGUGUAUGUAGAGGGGUAUAUGUGGUGUGUGGAUAGAGAGAUGUAUGUGUAGGGUGUAUAUGUGCUUAUGUGGAGGUGUCUUAGUUAGAGUGUCUCAGUUCUAUUGCUACAAUGAAACCCCAUGACCAAAUAGCAAGUUGGUGAGGAAAGGGUUUAUUUGGCUUACACUUCCACAAUGUAGUCUAUCACUGAAGGAGGUCAGGACAGGAACUUAAACAGGAGAGAACCUGAAGGCAUGAACUGAUAUAGAGGCCACGGAGGGGUGCUGCUUACUGGCUUGCUCCCCAAGACUGGCUCAGCCUACUUUCUUUUAGAACCCAGGUGUGUGUGAAGGUAAGUAUGGGGGUAUAUAUGGGUGUGUGUGUGGUGUGUAUGCAAAGGUAUGAGUAUGUGGAUGUAUAUGGAAAAGGCAUGUAUAUGUAGUAUGUGUAUGUGUAUGGAGAUGUACAGGUAUGGUAUGCAUAUGUGUAUGUGUAUAUAUGGGAUGUAUGGGUGUGUAUAUGUAGGGGGAUGGGAUGGGCCUAUGGGGGAUGUAUGUGAGUAUAAGGGUGUGUGUGUGUGUGUGUGUGUGUGUGUGAGAGAGAGAGAGAGAGAGAGAGAGAGAGAGAGAGAGAGAGAGUACAUUAGAGAACUCAUGUCAACACAUGUAGAAGGAGGAGGUGGAGAGUUGUACCAUCCCCUUCCCUGGUUCCCAGGAAGGUGACCAAUUAUACCUUGGCAUUUAUUCUGUGCAUCUCUUUGCUGUCUAAGGAGCAUGUAUCUCCCUAGGUUUUUAGUAACAGUCUUAUUAAAAUAGAAUAAAGCAUAGGGGUCUCCAGUACAGGGUUCUCAUGGCCCCCACUGGGAAGCUUGCAGAUCAUCUGGGUUCUUCACCAAUGGUUCCCCACCCAGGUAGAGUGUGGGACUCAGCUGGAAUGUGGAAGAGGGGACCCUGGGACUCAACUGGAGUGUUAGGCAUGGGGGAGGGACCCUGGAACUCAGCUGGAGUGUGAGUCAUGGGGGAAGGAAUUCUGGUUCAUCUGCGAAGGAUCACUUCAGCUAAAAGUAGGCAAACAUGGACCUUGGGUCAAUAAACAUAGAGCCCUAGAAAAGCAGGGGGAAUUAUUAGCAUACAUCCUCAGCCCCUUCCCAGGGGCUCAGGAACCCCGUUAGAGAUCUGACAGUCUAACCCAACCGGCAGCCUUGAGGGUGUUGUUCUGGUGUACAGGGGAGAGGGUGGGAACAUGGCCUCAAGGCCAGAGACUGAUACGCAUGGCUCCUCCCAGGUUCCCAGGUUCCUUCAGUGCCUUUCUCUCAAGUGACCUCCUUUCCCAGGAAUUUAGACACUGGGUUGGGCAGACUGGAAUAAGUGGCGAGGGCAGCUCCACAUUAGAUGUACUUGACCUGACCACAGCCUUCUUCCUACACUGUGAGCAUGAAACACGGCCCUGGGUCAUGAGAGCAGAGGGCACAGAUAUUUUGAGGACAGAGGUUCAGCAUGGCCCACAGGGAAGGGCUGAGAGGUAGGCCUAUGGUCCAUACCUUGAUUCCUCGAUUCCUUCCUAGUUGUGUUACCUUGGGCAAGUUGUUCAACUGUUCUGGGUCUCAGCGUCCUUUGACGUAAACAGGAUGAUAAUAGGUCCAGUGAGCCAUGGGGCACAAGGAAAGUUCUCAAGCAUUACCCCUGCGCUUGGUAUUUGUCUGAGGGAUCAGGACCUGGAGGAGGUUCCACGGGGAUGCCCAAUACCUUCUUGCAGCUGAGGGCUACAGCUGUUGAGGCUGCGAGGACCCUCUGAUAUAGACACACAUACCAGUAGGAUCAUGGUUGUCUCCAGAGCACAGAGCUGCAUCAGGCAUCCAAAGAACCUCAUGGCAUCUUGCAUCCAUUCAGUGUCAUGGACACAGGUCAGGGUGGUGAUCCUCCCCUCCAGUCCUUUAUUCUUCUCAGCCCAGCAACCAAACUCAGAGCCACCAGCAUCCCCAGGCUGCUCUGACACCGGUUUGUUUUCUAGGCUGCAAUUUUAGUUACUUUUCUCCUUGCUGUGAUCAAACACCCGACAAAAGCAACCGAAGGAAGGAAGGAAUAUUUUGGCUCCGGGUUAUGGGUACAGUCCGUCACGGCUGGGAAGUCACAGAAGCAGGAGCCUGAGACAACGGGUCAUGUAUAGUACGCAGCCAGGAAGAAGAGAGGGCCGGAUGCUGGCACUCAGCUUCCUUUCCCCUUUUUAAUGAGCCCAGGACCUCUACCUGUGUAAUGACACUGCCUGCAUUUAGGGUGGCUCUUCCCACAUCAGUUAAUUCAAGCGAGGAACGCCCCUCACAAAUGUGCCUGUAGGUUUGUCUCCUACAUCCUAGAGACCGACAAGUUGAUGGUCAGUGCUACCAUCACAACUGUAUAGCAAGUAACCACUCACUCAGCGACAUCAGCCAUCACCUCUGAAGACCUUGGUGUCUACAGGCCCAAGAAUCCAACACUAGGAGCCUGCUGCUCAGGGGUUCCACAGACUGGUAAUGUGUCUGCCAGCUGAACUGUGUUCUUAGAAAAGCCUAGCUUCCAGGGUUACCUCAUAGCCUAGGAGUUGUUGACAGAAUUUGGCUCCUUAGAAGGCCAGUACCAAUAUCCCCAUGGUCUUGGUGGUGGUGGUGGGGAGGAGGAAACACCUUGAUCAGACCCUGGUUACUGUACUCUAUAGGGACCUGAAAGCUCAUGUCAUACCAGUAAGGAAUCCUUUCAGUGAUGGAGUCCCAUGUGGCUUCCAUUCACCACCCUGCCGUAGGCAGAGCCUGACAAGCACCCAGCAUACCACACUCACACCAUGUCUUGGGCAGGAAUCUAUGGGCUGUGUCAAACAUGGGUCACCAUAGCCUGAUAUACCUUGGCAUUCCUGAGGGACUCUAAGAGAGAGCCUUGACUCUUCACUCAUUAUGAAUUUGCCUAGCAACUGUUGCCAAGCAACCACCUUCAGAAAGAGAGGCCAGAGAACUUAGCUUAUGCUCAAGGUUGGAAUGAGGAAAUAUAUAGGUCAGUGGGUGCUGGGCUCAGGGUCCACCUGGAUUCCUCUGUCUAGGUCUUUCUGGGUACCAGUCACCUACUGCUGUGAGACCCUGACAAAGUCACAUGACCCCAUUGGAAUGCCAGGUUCCAUCUGCUGUAGGGGUGGAACAUGAGGGCGAGGGAGCGGGAGACUCCCAGGCGCUGGAAUGCUGUGGAACUCUGAAUCGCAUCAGGAGACCAGCUUGGACCAAGCAUCCUCGUUUCUUUUUAGUCAGGGCUCUCAGUAACCACUUUGGAUCCAUUCCUGUGAGCAUCCCCAGGAUCCUUCACUUGCCACCACCACCCCCAGUCACUCAUUCAUUGGACAAAUUUGCUGAGCACCUGCUGUUUGUCAGCCGCCCGUGGGAGAGAGAAAACAAGGAACCAAAUACAUGAGAUAUUACACAGCAAGGAAGAUGGAGAAGACUUGGCAGAGAUGUAGUAGAACAGGGAGAUGGAACUAACCAGGGUGUGAGAGCUACAAUUUUAAAUUAAGUAGCUGGGGCUGGAGAGACAGCUCAAUGGCUAAGAGCACUGGACGCUCUUGCAAAGAAAUGGGGUGAUGACCCACAAAGCAGCUGGCCCACAAACCAACUGUAACUCCAGGGGAUCUGACAUCUUUUGGCUUCCACAGGCAUCAGGCACACAUGUGGCACAUACAUGCACAGAGGCAAACACAAAAAUAUAAAAGUAAGUCUUUUAAAAGUUUUCUUACAGAAGUAAUUGGGGAAAGUCUUUUUGUAACCUAGAGCUUUGAAUGAAACCAAAGGACAAAAGAAAGCAAAAAGCCAUGGGUAUCUGGGGCAAAGGGCACAGGCAGCAAAAACUAAAGAGUACUUAAGGUUCUGCAGGAGAAUCAGGAAGUGACUGCUGACCCGUGCUUGCUAGGAAAGCUGGCAAAAAGGACAAAGCAGAUGUCGAUGUGCCUGCACAGAAGGACAUCCCUGGUAAUCUCUAACUGCAACAAUCAGCAGUCAGAAGGAGACUGUUGGUGGUCCCAAGGGAGCGGUAUGGCUGAGGGAUGGUAGGAGGGAUGGGGCUAUGUGGAAAUGGCUGGUCAGGGGAUACUCAUGUGACAGGCAGGAGGGAACAGACUGGGAAGGAAGCCCUUGUCCCUAAGGUCACUAGAUAGGAGCUCUGUCUAGAUUUCCGGAGAGCCUGGAGCCAGAGAGGAGUGCUGUGUGGGGGAGAAGGGAAUCUGGCUUGCUUCUGCCCAGACUGACCAUGACCCUGCUUCGGAAUCUGAGGUAAGCCAAUCAUGGUGGCUUAUGCCUGAAAUCCCAUUACUCAGCACCAAAGCAAGAGAUUUUCUGCAAACUAGAGGUCAGUCUAUGCCAUACAGUAAGGCGAAGCUUUCCCCCAAAGACAAAGACAUGAGAUAAACCUAUGUAGGACCUAUGUAGGCAGCCUAUGCUCUGCAGGCACCAAUGAGCCGCUAGCCACUGGCUGCCCUUGCAGUGACAGGGAGUUCCUUCUAGAGGAGCACAUCCUUGUAGCUACCAUGACCACAUAACCAGAGCAGCACAAGGGGAACAUGGACACAGAUACAGCAUACUGUACUUAUAAGCAUAGCACAAUACACUUGUCUUUGUACAAGGAAAACUGUCUGAUGGCUUGCUCCCAAUGACUAUGACAUGAGGGAAGUAUGACAGUAGGGAGACUAUGAGAAGCCUAUUCUUCCUCUAAGUUGCUUUUCAUGAGGAUAUGUAUCACAGGGAUAGAAAUGAAAAUAGGACACCAUAACAUAUGACUUAAGGAAGAAGACAAUGAGGCAUUAGUGUCAAGUGUGAAGAAAUGAAAAUUCCCAGCUAUGAUUUUAUACCUAGCCAAACUUUCCCCUGCACAUUGUUCACACCAAGUUCAUAUGCUCAAGUCCCUUAUAGUAAAUGGUGCCAUUUUUACAUAUAACUCAUGCAAACCUCUUUUAUAGUUAAAAUCACCUCAAGAUCACUUAUAAAAAACAUCAUAUCUUGGGCUGGAGAGAUGGCUCAGUGGUUAAGAGCACUGACUGCUCUUCCAAAGGUCCUGAGUUCAAAUCCCAGCAACCACAUGGUGGCUCACAACCAUCUGUAAUGAGAUCUGAUGCCCUCUUCUGGUGUGUCUGAAGACAGCUACAGUGUACUGAUAUAUAAUAAAUGAAUAAAUCUUAAAAAAAAACAUAUCCAUUUAUUUACACGAGUAAGUAGAUAAAGUAAGUAAAAUAGCUCAUAUAUGGAGAACUUACAAUGCCUUAUAGUAUAAUAUGUUGCUGUUGUGAAUAAUCCCAGUGCUGUGGAGGCUGCAUCAGGCUGCUUUGUCUCUUGCAGGUAGCUCUGUUUGGGGAGGUGGGAAACCAUUAGGAGGCAGGGUCGGAUCAGAGGAGGUAGGUGGUUUGGGGGUGGGUCUUAAGGUUUAUGUCCACCUUGUUUACCAUCCUGUCUCUGCUUCUUUAUCCACCAGAUGUAAGUGAGUAGCCUCAGGCUCCUACUGCCAUGGCUUCCCCACUGUGAUAAACUGUGCUCUUAGACUGAACAACAAAGCUAGCGGCAGGACCAGUGAGAUAGCUAAGGGAUAAAGGGGCUUGCCACUAAGACUGACAACCAGAAUCCUGUCCUCAGUAUCCACAGGCUAUAUUUGUUGUCCUCUGACCUUCACGAGUGGUUGGCAUGGGUGCCCACCAUAGACCUGCACACAAUACAAAAAAAUGCAAGAGAACCCCACAUAUAACAACACGAAAUGGAACAAACACAAGUGCCCUUUGUCUGAAAAUUUAAUUCUCUCUUCCCCUCUCCUCCUCUUCCCCUUUCCCCCCUCUUCCCUCUCUAUCUCUCUCUUUGCAGAGCAAAGAUAAAUUUAUUAAGGAAACGUGAGAAAGAAUUUCUGAGAGUGGAAGGGGCUCCAGAGGAAGAAUACCCUUCAUAUGUAUUAUUUAUGUGCAUAGCUGUUUGCCCGAAUGUUUCUGUGUACCAUGUGUAUGUAGUGCCCUCAGAGGUCAGAAGCAGGCAGUGAAAACUUGGGGCAGGAGUUACAGACAGUUGUGAGCCACCAUGUGGAUGCUAGGAAUCAAAUCCCAGUCCUUUGAAAGAGCUCUUAACCACGAAGCCAUCUGUCCAGCCUCUAAAGCCUUUUAACUAUGUCUAUUUAUUUAUUUAGUGUGUGUACACCUGAAUAUAUAUAGGUUAGAGGACAACUUGCAAAAGCCAGUUUUCUCCUUACAUACAUCAUGUAGGGCCGUGAUUGAACUGAGAACAUCAAACUUGGCAGCAAGCUCCUUUACCUGCUAAGCCAUCUAGCCAGCCCUGAUGCUCUCUCUUGACCUUGGUGCUUAUGCUCCUCAGAGGAAAAAUACAGCCCUGGUGUUAGUAAGAAGGGCUAGAGGUGAUCUGAUUCCAUUUCCAACUCAAUAGUUAGGAGAACAAGACACUCAUGACUGUUCUUCAGGCCUUCCUGUGUGUGAACACACAUUCCACAAGCUCAGCCUCCUAGAAGAGCAGCCCUCAGAGGGGAGUUGAUGCUUAGGCUGGUCUUUCUGCAUGAACACAGGUGGUUCUCCCAGGCUAAGUAGAGCUAACCAGGGCAAUGGCACUGGUGACUUUUGAGGCUGACCACAGCAGGCACCAGGGCCUUCCUUAGGCUUCGUCUCGGGGAAUCUGCCCGAGAAGGCAGUUGCUCUGUGGUAAGGAUGUCUGAGUGGCUCCCACGGGGACUGUCUAACAACAAUUACAGGUGUGCCAGUGUCCUUGGCAUCAACUGCAGUAGAGUAAGGAGCAGAGCUUCAAGGGGAAAGCUGGUGACAUAGACAACCAAGAAUGGUGGCAGUAGCCAUCAUAGCCAUGGAGGGUUCAGAUCAGAUAAGACCCAGCUGGACAUACCAUUAGGGAUGACUCUGUAGCCAGCCUGUGACUUAACUUGCUACCUGUAGACCUCUGGGACUCUGGGGUGUUCCUAUAGCUCCCUUCUGCAAGCUCUGUUCCAUAUAAGUCAGAGGUCACCCUGCUGUCUGCAGGAAGCUCUGGCCUUUGCAUCUAGCUAACUCUGGCUGUGUUUGGCCAGCAUGGCUGAGCAGUGUUAUCACAUGUAAUGUAAUGUGUAUUGACCUCCUGAGGAGUCACAUACCAAGGAUGGUACAAGGGAACUGAGCGGGCAGCUUGGACACUCCUGAAGGCAUCAUGACAGAAGUAGGCCUUGGAGAGCAACAGGCUGGUAACCCCUGAGAAGAUGAUGGCAAGGACUCACCCACCUUUAGCAAAUCACCUGCUGUUCCAAAGAAAGACUCAGCUAAUGACAUCAUUUUAGCCCUGAAGUAUUUAGCCCCAAUGGAGGAGGAGGAAUCUUUCAGAAUUAAGAUCCACACGCACGACUGAGGCAAACAAUGAGUUGGGAUGGGCCCCAGGGACUCAGCACACAUUGGGCAGGCAGGGGAGCAGAGACCCACAGGUGCUAUGUGCAGGGACAUAGCAUGGCACUUGGACAUUCAUUUUUGCCUGCUGGGAUGUUUCUGGAACCCUGGCAGAGAGGGAAGUGGCAAUUUGGGAUAAUAUGCUGGGUUCUAGAGCCCCAGCAGGCAGGAAAAGAAAGCUACAGGUGUCAGGUGGGUGGUGAGGGCUCAGUCAACAGACAGGGACCCAUUCUGCUGCCCUGUAGACAUCUGAGGCCUGUUGUUCUCCCUUUGGGCAUUGUCACUGCUCCCUGACCCUGCAUGUCCAAGUUUAGAGGAUGGACACAGAUUGCAUAUGGCAGGCGUACCAUUCUGAUGACCACUGUCUCAGUCUCUCUCUAGGACCCUGCAGAUGCCAGGACCUGGAAGCCAAGGGGAAUCUGAACUCAAGCCAUAGAGGCCAUUUAAAUUGACACGGUACUCAUAGCUCUCCAGGGAGGUUGGGAAAACUGGAAUAAGAAAAAUGCACUGCCAGGGCCAUAGCCAAUGUCACACCACAGAAUGACUGAGAGGAAUCAGGGGCUCCCACAAUGGGGAGUCCUUGCUCAGCUACCUCCCAGCGAGGCUCCUGAAGCCUUGGAGACCUUAGUGAUCUGACUUUGUGCAAGUCACGGUGUCCUGGCUGCACAGAUGAAAGAUCACACAUUAGUCAGUAGUUGGCGAGAUACAUGGAGAGCUGAGAUCAGCAGCCACACGGGGAGAAUCUGGGGCAUACCAGGCCUCUUCAGCCCAACAGUAAUCACAGAACAAAGGCCUUCAUCCCAGUACCUGAUGCACAUACCCUGGCAGGCUCCAGUGAGUCUUCCACAGUGUCAUGGACUGAAAACCAGGGAUAGGAACAUCUGGGAUCCUGGAGAUCACCCACUAGACAGGCUUGGAGGACUACAGCUCAUGCUGGAACGAGAGCCUUCAGCUACUUUGGGACAAAUUUCUACACACAAGCAAAAAAGGAGGAGGAGAAAAGGAAGAAGAAAGAAAGAAAAGAGGGAUAGAGGAGGAGGAAGAGGAAAAGAAGAAGAAGAAGGAGAAGGGGAAGGAGAAGAAGCAGCAGCCCAGCCCCUUCAGUUCACCAGCAUGCUAUGGAUUUGCAGUGUGACCUCGAAGGAUACUGGAGAUGCUUAGCUCUGCAGGGCCCCUGAAGCUUAUAAUUCCAGGUUGUGUGGCUUCUGGAAACCAUUCAGGGUCUCCAGGGGCUGAUUCCCAUAAGUGGGUCAGCAGGAUGGUAUUCUGCUGCCUCAGGAGGCCCCAGCUCUGCACACUGUCAGCUGGUGCUGUUUGAUGAGCAAUUGCAGGGUUAGCAAAAAACACUGUCCUAAUAAAGUGAAUUCAAGGAAAAACAACCCUCAAACUCUCACCUCUUAUAGUCAGAUACUUAUCAGGUGGCCCAGUGCUCAGGACUGAAACCCUGGGUUGAUGCUUCAUAGCUGACUGCUCACAGGGUCCCUGACUGGCCUUUUGGCUUCCUGAUUCUCCUCUCUAUGUCUAGGGACAGCUGGGCACAGCAUAUCUUGGGUGGUCAUGGUUGGCUUCUCUUUGCAAGGUCUCACAUCCUCCAGAUGUUGCCUGGAGUCUCCUAGUGGUCCAAGACCGAGUAAGGCAGCAUCUCUGCCACACUUCAUUGACAAGUCAAGUCACCUGUGACCAGAGAUGGGCAUGAGGGACUCACAUUCUCCAUGAGAGGGGCAGUUCACAACAAGGUAGGGCAAAAAGAUAGAGAGAAACUCUACUGCAAUUAGCUAUUUAUACAGCUUGGGAAACAAAAACCUGAAACUCAUGGUGAAUUCUGCAUGGAAGGACCACCGGAGUUUGUCUCCAGAGCUACCAGUGACGCAGAACUGGCAGCUGGGGUCGCAAAGAAAAGCCAGCCUUGGGAAAAGUUUGCAAUUUCUCCAAAGCACCUAAGUCCUGUUCUGGGAUGAAGAAAGGUUUGCAUUGGGAAUGUCCCCUUAUCCCUGUCCAGGCUGAGUGGCAGCAGGGUCCCCAUUGCAAGUGGAGCUGAGCUGGGUCUUUGGAGAGGCUCUUACCUCAUCUUGGAUCACCCCCUGAUGAACUCCUGAUACCCUGGUAGUGUUGACAAGGGAUAGAGUUAGGAGGUGGGCCUAGACGAAAGAGGCAGGUUGCUAGGGUCAUGCUUAGGCAGGGGAUGCUUUGUGCCCUACCUUUCAGUCUAUCUUUGCUUCUUGGACAAUAUGAGGUGAGAAGUUGGGCUCAGCCAUGCUCUCCCUCCAUGAUACCCAGCUCCAUCCCAGUCUCAUAGAAGGAACAACUGGAUACAACUGGAUCAAAAUCUCCAGGACUGUAACCAAAAUGAGCUUCUCCUUGUUUAAGUCAUUUCCCUCAGAUAUUUUGUCUCAGGGACAAUACACUGACCAAUACAACAGCCCAUCAUAGUAGGGUCUGGCAGGGCCCUGGGCCUUGUUGGAAAGGUCAAGCUCAAGGAAGGUAGGUGACAGCUUGGUGCACUUGCCUAGUCACAAAUGGGGCACUGUCCACAGGGAUGUAUAGGCUGCAUGUGUGCAGAGACUAGCAUGUGGUCAUUAAUUCACUCAACAAACGUUGAGCGUGUGCCAGACACCAUCCUAAGAGCAGAAGUCACCUGUCCUCACAGGCCAGCGAGAUAAACAAUGGCAGUGUGUUGUGACAGGGAAGGUUGCUGUACGGUGUGACUAUUUUGAAUUCAGUGGCCACCAAGAAGGAUGUACCUGGAGGGAGAAAGAAGAACUAUGGCCUUUCAGAGUAACUAAACCUGAUGUUCUUUCUAGAACCCAGGGGUAAAGGUGAGGACAAGAGACCUUUGCCAGCCCUCAGCCGCCUCACUGCUAACCCUAGUGAGUCGAUGAAGAUCCUGCACUGAGUGUGGGGAAAGGCCCACCAUGGGAGAUGCUGUGAGCCAGUGACUGUGGGAAGUGGGAGCUCGAAGCUGGCAAGAACUCCAAAGUCACGACCACCCGCCCGAGCUUCGAGGGCCUCUGACUGCAAGAUUUAAUGGGCCUUUAGCAGCACGCUGAGAGCAUGCUGGAACCAAGUGGCUCUGUGCUGGCAGCUUCCUAAUCCAGGAUUAGCCCACCGUGGGAUAUAGCCGUGGCUUUACCCUUUGUGUUGAGGUCUACAAGAAGGAAGCUGGCUCUCUGGUAGCCUGGUGAGCUCCACCACAAGCUCUGAUUUGCAGGAUGUCACAUGUCUGCCAGCUCCCAGAGGAGGAGGAUUGUGAUCUCUGCACUGCCCUCAGCCUGUGGCAUCUGUCGUCGAGCGCAUAUACACCCCACUCAGUUGGGUUUGCUGAUGUGGCUUCCAAACCAUCUGUGGCUUCUCUAAUAUUGCCCCACAGGGAGGCAGGGUCAAACCGCAGACUUUGAAACUGCCUCAAUCCCGUGCUAUUAAACAUAUCUUUUUAACAGUC